CGUGCUUAACACAUGCAAGUCGAACGGAAAGGCCCUGCUUUUGUGGGGUGCUCGAGUGGCGAACGGGUGAGUAACACGUGAGUAACCUGCCCUUGACUUUGGGAUAACUUCAGGAAACUGGGGCUAAUACCGGAUAGGAGCUCCUGCUGCAUGGUGGGGGUUGGAAAGUUUCGGCGGUUGGGGAUGGACUCGCGGCUUAUCAGCUUGUUGGUGGGGUAGUGGCUUACCAAGGCUUUGACGGGUAGCCGGCCUGAGAGGGUGACCGGCCACAUUGGGACUGAGAUACGGCCCAGACUCCUACGGGAGGCAGCAGUGGGGAAUAUUGCACAAUGGGCGGAAGCCUGAUGCAGCAACGCCGCGUGCGGGAUGACGGCCUUCGGGUUGUAAACCGCUUUCGCCUGUGACGAAGCGUGAGUGACGGUAAUGGGUAAAGAAGCACCGGCUAACUACGUGCCAGCAGCCGCGGUGAUACGUAGGGUGCGAGCGUUGUCCGGAUUUAUUGGGCGUAAAGGGCUCGUAGGUGGUUGAUCGCGUCGGAAGUGUAAUCUUGGGGCUUAACCCUGAGCGUGCUUUCGAUACGGGUUGACUUGAGGAAGGUAGGGGAGAAUGGAAUUCCUGGUGGAGCGGUGGAAUGCGCAGAUAUCAGGAGGAACACCAGUGGCGAAGGCGGUUCUCUGGGCCUUUCCUGACGCUGAGGAGCGAAAGCGUGGGGAGCGAACAGGCUUAGAUACCCUGGUAGUCCACGCUGUAAACGGUGGGUACUAGGUGUGGGGUCCAUUCCACGGGUUCCGUGCCGUAGCUAACGCUUUAAGUACCCCGCCUGGGGAGUACGGCCGCAAGGCUAAAACUCAAAGGAAUUGACGGGGCCCCGCACAAGCGGCGGAGCAUGCGGAUUAAUUCGAUGCAACGCGUAGAACCUUACCUGGGUUUGACAUGGAUCGGGAGUGCUCAGAGAUGGGUGUGCCUCUUUUGGGGUCGGUUCACAGGUGGUGCAUGGCUGUCGUCAGCUCGUGUCGUGAGAUGUUGGGUUAAGUCCCGCAACGAGCGCAACCCUUGUUCACUGUUGCCAGCACGUUAUGGUGGGGACUCAGUGGAGACCGCCGGGGUCAACUCGGAGGAAGGUGGGGAUGACGUCAAGUCAUCAUGCCCCUUAUGUCCAGGGCUUCACGCAUGCUACAAUGGCUGGUACAGAGAGUGGCGAGCCUGUGAGGGUGAGCGAAUCUCGGAAAGCCGGUCUCAGUUCGGAUUGGGGUCUGCAACUCGACCUCAUGAAGUCGGAGUCGCUAGUAAUCGCAGAUCAGCAACGCUGCGGUGAAUACGUUCCCGGGGCUUGUACACACCGCCCGUCAAGUCAUGAAAGUUGGUAACACCCGAAGCCGGUGGCCUAACCGUUGUGGGGGAGCCGUCGAAGGUGGGACUGGUGAUUAGGACUAAGUCAUAA
rnacentral:rRNA from 1 species